UUGCAUUUCUUUUGACGUUCAUGUUUAUAUAAUUAGAUUACAACUAAGUUUGUGUAUAGCUUGUUUAUAUUAUUUCAGAAUUUGCUAUUUUAGACACUUGGUAUAAGCUGUCAUACUACACGUGGCAUGUGGUAUCCCACUAAUUAGCUAUUUUAAACAUGUGACAAGUGGUU